rnacentral:lncRNA from 1 species
UGGGAUCUGAACAAUGAGGAAAGAACAGCAGUUCUGAAAGCCUGUGAAUGGUAAUGGGGUUGCUGUGAAAGCCCUAACAUCCUGAUUACUUCCACGUCUGCUUGUGCUGCUCAGUAGAAAAUUCUGUUUUCUGCAUUUGAAGUGAUCAGACCCUAUGGGUUAUUCUUGCAGAGCCCUUUCUCAGCUCCAGCUGUUGCAAAUGCUCGUCUUUGUUCCCAUAACAGCUCCCAGAGAAGUCUCUCAGUCCUAAGACAUACGCAAGGCCAAACAAGCACUGGAAAAUAUGUUAGAAAGACCUGCAUUUUGAUAGCUCCAGCAUGCUUUCCAUGA